AACGAACGCUGGCGGCAGGCCUAACACAUGCAAGUCGAGCGAGGUAGCAAUACCUAGCGGCGGACGGGUGAGUAACGCGUGGGAACGUGCCCUUUGCUUCGGAAUAGCCCCGGGAAACUGGGAGUAAUACCGAAUGUGCCCUACGGGGGAAAGAUUUAUCGGCAAAGGAUCGGCCCGCGUUGGAUUAGGUAGUUGGUGGGGUAAUGGCCUACCAAGCCGACGAUCCAUAGCUGGUUUGAGAGGAUGAUCAGCCACACUGGGACUGAGACACGGCCCAGACUCCUACGGGAGGCAGCAGUGGGGAAUCUUAGACAAUGGGCGCAAGCCUGAUCUAGCCAUGCCGCGUGAGCGAUGAAGGCCUUAGGGUUGUAAAGCUCUUUCGUGGGGGAAGAUAAUGACGGUACCCCAAGAAGAAGCCCCGGCUAACUCCGUGCCAGCCGCCGCAGUAACAC
rnacentral:rRNA from 1 species